GGCUUCGUGGCUUAGCUGGUUAAAGCGCCUGUCUAGUAAACAGGAUGAUCCUGGGUUCGAAUCCCAGCGAGGCCU
rfam:Pan troglodytes isolate Yerkes chimp pedigree #C0471 (Clint) chromosome 6, whole genome shotgun sequence.